GGUUGUGCCUUAGUGGUAGAGUGCUUGCCUAGCAUGUGUGAGGCACUGGGUUUGAUUCCCAGCACCA
rnacentral:tRNA from 1 species